CAUAACCAAAAAUAACAAAAGGGUUUAAAGUUGGGUUUGUAAUUAGACGAACAUCUCCACCACCAGGUGACCACGUGUCGUAUAAUCCACCAAACACAGUUGCUUUAAGAACUAAUAAGUAUGAUCCAAUUCCUAGUAAACAUAAGUGAAUACCUAAAAUUGUUGUCAUCUUAUUUUUAUCACGCCA
rnacentral:antisense_RNA from 1 species